CAAAGACACAGCUUGACUCUGGGAUUUAGCAACACUCAUACAUGAAAUAUAUGCAGACUGAAUUGGAUGGAGUGAAGUAUGCUUCCAGAGCUCUAUGCCUUGAUCAGGUUGAAAAUAUGCUGGCACAGCCAGCAUCAGCUCCAGCCAAGUCAUGGAUGUGCAGAGGGGCCCAGCAGUAUGGAAUGCAAAGCAACUCCACAAAGUAAGUUCAAAGUGAUUUCAAAACUUCCCAGAAGUGGUGCCAUAAUUUCUGGGCAGUGGCUCAGGUAUGAAAGUUCUUAUUUCAAAUGAAUCUGUCCAGUAAUUCCUG
rnacentral:lncRNA from 1 species